rnacentral:rRNA from 1 species
CCUACGGGAGGCAGCAGUGAGGAAUAUUGGUCAAUGGACGAGAGUCUGAACCAGCCAAGUAGCGUGAAGGAUGACUGCCCUACGGGUUGUAAACUUCUUUUAUAUGGGAAUAAAAUGCUCCACGUGUGGGACUUUGUAUGUACCAUAUGAAUAAGGAUCGGCUAACUCCGUGCCAGCAGCCGCGGUAAUACGGAGGAUCCGAGCGUUAUCCGGAUUUAUUGGGUUUAAAGGGAGCGUAGGUGGAUUGUUAAGUCAGUUGUGAAAGUUUGAGGCUCAACCGUAAAAUUGCAGUUGAAACUGGCAGUCUUGAGUACGGUAGAGGUAGGCGGAAUUCGUGGUGUAGCGGUGAAAUGCUUAGAUAUCACGAAGAACUCCGAUUGCGAAGGCAGCUCACUGGACUGUAACUGACACUGAGGCUCGAAAGUGUGGGUAUCAAACAGGAUUAGAUACCCUAGUAGUC